rnacentral:lncRNA from 1 species
GGAAAUACAAGGAUUGUAAAAAGUUUAUCCAAAGAUAUUGUCAGGUGGAUGUUAUUAUGAAGCAAAGGACAACAUUCAAUACUGUUACAGGUAAAUAUAAUAAUACGAAUAUGUGGUAUGAUUGCCAAUUAAGACAAUUCUCCACCAAAUAAAGUUGAAGUUGACAACUAAAGGUCCCCAUAACAACUCUUUACCAGAUACUGAAUGACGUAGAAGUAAACAAUUAUAUGUCCGCAUAACAAUUCUCCACCAGAGACCAAAUGGUGUAGAAGUUAACAACUAUAGGUCAUCAUCAGCCUUCAUCAAUGAGCAAAAAAAAAACAAAAACCAAGUACACAUAGAAAGCUAUAAAACGCCAGAAAGACAAAUGUUAAAGGAAAUGAGAAAACUAACAGUCUGAUUUAUGUACAAAACAAUAAACAAAAACAAAUAUAACUUACAGAAACAAAUAACAAUCAAUGAAUUACAGACUUGGGACAGGCACAUACAUAAUGUGGAGGGAUAAACAUAUUUGCUGGCAC